GCCGGGAUGGUGGAAUUGGCAGACACGUACGUUUGAGGGGCGUAUGGCUUCGGCCGUGGGGGUUCAAAUCCCCCUCCCGGCA
rnacentral:tRNA from 1 species